rnacentral:rRNA from 1 species
CACGUAGUUAGCCGGAGCUUCCUCCUUGGGUACCGUCCUUUUUCGUCCCCAAAGACAGAGGUUUACAAUCCGAAGACCGUCUUCCCUCACGCGGCGUCGCUGGGUCAGGGUUUCCCCCAUUGCCCAAUAUCCCUCACUGCUGCCUCCCGUAGGAGUCUGGGCCGUGUCUCAGUCCCAAUGUGGCCGGUCAACCUCUCAGUCCGGCUACCGAUCGUCGCCAUGGUGAGCCGUUACCUCACCAUCUAGCUAAUCGGUCGCGAGCCCAUCUUUCAGCGGAUUACUCCUUUGAUAUCCUGCAGAUGCCUGCUGGAUAUUUUAUGCGGUAUUAGCGUUCGUUUCCAAACGUUAUCCCCCUCUGAAAGGCAGGUUGCUCACGUGUUACUCACCCGUCCGCCACUAAAGCAAUUAAAGUAAACUCCAAUUGCUUCCGUUCGACUUGCAUGUGUUAGGCGCGCCGCCAGCGUUCGUCCUGAGCCAGGAUCAAACUCU